UACCUUAUUCGUCAGGUGUUUGAAAUUAAACAAACAAAAAAUAGGAAGAAAAAAUUUAUAUUGGCCUUGAUAACGAAUCUUCUCGAAAUCGAUAUAGUACUGUUUUACUAUGCUGCUUUCGAAUGGUGGUACGGGGCUAGGGAAUCAUCCCUUCAAAGGAUCAAUAGGGAAGCGGCUUCAGUAAGAGGAUAUAAUCGAUUGCGUUGGGAAAGGUUUUUCGAAGGAACGUCCAACGGUUCAUACGGAUCAUGGGUCAAAGUUGAAUUUUUGCUCUAAUGCGGGAACGUUCCUUCGUAGAAAAGUAAGUUUCCUCGCCGAUUCUCUUUGGAUUCUAUUUUUUUGCAACUUCAGAAGGAUUCAAUGCAGUCGGGAAGGGAACGAUAAGGAAAACCUUAGGGCGAUUAAUAGUGAUUCCGAAAAAGAUGUUCUGCGAAUCAUUAUUGAAGAAGAAGAAGAGGAUGAAGAUGAAGAAGAAGGAGAUACAGGGGAUGAAGUAGUAGAGGAGAUAUACUAAACCAACCGAAGACGAAAACAGUUCCGAUAGCCUGGAGGUAUUGCAAAGGAGCCGAAUUGAUUUAUAUUUGAAUUGUAAUUCCAAAAAAGAUAAAAAAAUUUCAACAACGCUCCACCAGAUAAUAUAACAUUGCACAUCCAAAGUGAAAAGCAAUCACAUUGAUUCUAUCUAUUCUUACGUACAUACGACGAUACGAUUGUACAACAUGGAUAGUACAAAUGCCAGAAAAACAAUAAGAUUACUAUAUGAACACAUUUUCCUUUUUAAAAUUGCUUAUAAAUGGAAAAACAAUCAACGCUGUGUUUAUUUAAUGAUAAGAUAUUUUAGAGAUAUGAUAAAUUUUUUAUUCUAAAAUGUAAUGUCGAAUAUAAAGUCUAUAACAUAUUUAUUUAUUUUAUAAUAAUUUAUUGAAUAUUUUCGUAGAUUAUAUGCAGUCGAAGAAAGUAUUAUUAUUUAUAAGUGAAUUUAUCUCAUAUAUUCUAAAUGGUACGAAUCCCAAAUGGGAGUAAUUAUCCGAUAAGUACUAUAAUAUGGAAAUGAAAUCUUUUAAUAAAUCUUAUACAAAUAUAAUGUCAAAUUUAAUGAAUAUUAAUGGAAUAAUAGAAUGAUUAGUGAUAAAGAUGAUAGCUAGGGAUUAUUUCGCGUAUGAGACACACUUGCGUAUUACUGGGUCGCAAAUCCCGGAAGGAAUGACUUAACCUAGUUUAAUUAGCCACAUGUUAGCUGGAUAGAAGACCAAGCUUCCUAAAAUCUAAUUAUCUAACUAGAACGCAUGGGGAUAAAUAAUUUCCCCACUCCUAUAGUUAUGUAAUUAUAUGUAUAUAUACUCUAUGUUCAUGCGAAAUUAUCUGUGUAAUAUAUCAUGGAAUUUCCUAAUGAGAAUCUUACAAUAAUUCGUCUAUUUUUUAAUUGAAAUAAUCACAUAAAACUGUAAUUAUUUAUAAUAUAAUUAAUUAUUAUAAUAAUAAUUAUUGUAAUUAUGAAGACUAAUUCUUAUGAAGUUAAUCGGAUAUUAAUAUAGGAAAUUCGCACUGUUAUUUUUUUUGUAAGUCUGACUUAUGCUUAAUAGUAUUCUAUUAUCAGUAUUCUAUUAUUCAUAAUGAUAUUAUGGAUAUUAUAGUAUUCUAUUACCAGUAUUCUAUUAUUCCUAAUGAUUCUAUAUAGUAUUCUAUUAUUCAUAAUGAUAUCACUAUAAAUUUUCGUGCUACGUAUAUACUAUGUAAUUCUUAUAGUAAAAUCAUCUCUCUUAAAAAAUUUUUUCGUCGGAAGUUAUAUCUACUGCCAUAUUGCAUGAAAACAUUUUCUCCAAAUAUUAUUUCCUUUUCUUGUAAACAAAUGCAUAUUGCUCAAGUUAUCGAAGAUAGCAUUUUCGCUAUUCCAUAAUAAUAAAAAACGAAUUCGGAGAAAA